rnacentral:rRNA from 1 species
UGGGGAAUUUUGGACAAUGGGCGAAAGCCUGAUCCAGCAAUGCCGCGUGUGUGAAGAAGGCCUUCGGGUUGUAAAGCACUUUUGUCCGGAAAGAAAUCCUUGGCUCUAAUACAGUCGGGGGAUGACGGUACCGGAAGAAUAAGCACCGGCUAACUACGUGCCAGCAGCCGCGGUAAUACGUAGGGUGCAAGCGUUAAUCGGAAUUACUGGGCGUAAAGCGUGCGCAGGCGGUUUGCUAAGACCGAUGUGAAAUCCCCGGGCUCAACCUGGGAACUGCAUUGGUGACUGGCAGGCUAGAGUAUGGCAGAGGGGGGUAGAAUUCCACGUGUAGCAGUGAAAUGCGUAGAGAUGUGGAGGAAUACCGAUGGCGAAGGCAGCCCCCUGGGCCAAUACUGACGCUCAUGCACGAAAGCGUGGGGAGCAAACAGGAUUAGAUACCCUGGUAGUCCACGCCCUAAACGAUGUCAACUAGUUGUUGGGGAUUCAUUUUCCUUAGUAACGUAGCUAACGCGUGAAGUUGACCGCCUGGGGAGUACGGUCGCAAGAUUAAAACUUAAAUGAAUUGACGGGGUCAUAGCUGUUUCCU